UGGGGAAUUUUGGACAAUGGGGGAAACCCUGAUCCAGCCAUCCCGCGUGUGCGAUGAAGGCCUUCGGGUUGUAAAGCACUUUUGGCAGGAAAGAAACGUCAUGGGUUAAUACCCCGUGAAACUGACGGUACCUGCAGAAUAAGCACCGGCUAACUACGUGCCAGCAGCCGCGGUAAUACGUAGGGUGCAAGCGUUAAUCGGAAUUACUGGGCGUAAAGCGUGCGCAGGCGGUUCGGAAAGAAAGAUGUGAAAUCCCAGAGCUCAACUGUGGAACUGCAUUUAUAACUACCGGGCUAGAGUGUGUCAGAGGGGGGUGAAAUUCCGCGUGUAGCAGUGAAAUGCGUAGAUAUGCGGAGAAACACCGAUGGCGAGGGCAGCCUCCUGGGAUAACACUGACGCUCAUGCACGAAAGCGUGGGGAGCAAACGGG
rnacentral:rRNA from 1 species